rnacentral:lncRNA from 1 species
AGCUUUAUUUUGCCGUUCUUGCGUUUUGAGGUUGUAACUUUCGUUUAAGCAGACUUGUAAGUUUAAAUUCUUAAGGAUGAUUUAUAUUAUGUAAUUUUGAGUGAAGCGUGGUAAGUUGACAUGCGAUGAUAUAUGUACUAAGUUGAAUUGUUGGAUUAGUGAUUAUGUUUGAGUUAGGGUUUCAAUCCCCUGCAUUGUCAAAUGUUACAUUCGUUUCAUUGAUGAUAUUAGUACUUUGAACGACUGAGUCCUGGCGAGAGUUGGGCAGGCAGUCCGCUGAUACCCUAGGGUUUGCCCUAGGGAGAGGUGGGGCUGUCACAAUGGGAAGUUGUAGGUGCAGGCCAACUGGAUUUGUUCAAAGCUCUGGUCACUAAGUUUUUUCCUAUAAAAUGUUCACAUGAACAUUGGUGACGUGUUGUACAGUUGUUUCCUUUUGUAACCAUGAUUUACUAUCUGGGCAACUGAUAUUUUUGGGACCGUUUUCCAUUUGAAGAUGUGAUUUUCAUUUUUG